rnacentral:sRNA from 1 species
GCUGGGUGUGGUGGUGCACACCUGUAGUCCCAGCCUCUCAGGAAGCUGACGUGGGAGGAUCACUUGAGCCCAGGAAGUCAAGGAUGCAGUGAGCUGUGAUCAUGCCACUGCACUCCAGCCUGGGCAACUGAGUGAGAUCCUGUCUU